rnacentral:rRNA from 1 species
UACGUAGGGGGCAAGCGUUGUCCGGAAUUAUUGGGCGUAAAGAGCGUGUAGGCGGUCCGGUAAGUCAGCUGUGAAAGUCAAGGGCUCAACCCUUGAAUGCCGGUUGAUACUGUCGGGCUAGAGUCCGGAAGAGGCGAGUGGAAUUCCCGGUGUAGCGGUGAAAUGCGCAGAUAUCGGGAGGAACAUCAAUGGCGAAGGCAGCUCGCUGGGACGGUACUGACGCUAAGACGCGAAAGCGUGGGGAGCAAACAGG